rnacentral:rRNA from 9 species
AGAGUUUGAUCAUGGCUCAGAUUGAACGCUGGCGGCAGGCCUAACACAUGCAAGUCGAACGGUAACAGAAAGCAGCUUGCUGCUUUGCUGACGAGUGGCGGACGGGUGAGUAAUGUCUGGGAAACUGCCUGAUGGAGGGGGAUAACUACUGGAAACGGUAGCUAAUACCGCAUAACGUCGCAAGACCAAAGAGGGGGACCUUAGGGCCUCUUGCCAUCGGAUGUGCCCAGAUGGGAUUAGCUAGUAGGUGGGGUAAAGGCUCACCUAGGCGACGAUCCCUAGCUGGUCUGAGAGGAUGACCAGCCACACUGGAACUGAGACACGGUCCAGACUCCUACGGGAGGCAGCAGUGGGGAAUAUUGCACAAUGGGCGCAAGCCUGAUGCAGCCAUGCCGCGUGUAUGAAGAAGGCCUUCGGGUUGUAAAGUACUUUCAGCGGGGAGGAAGGGAGUAAAGUUAAUACCUUUGCUCAUUGACGUUACCCGCAGAAGAAGCACCGGCUAACUCCGUGCCAGCAGCCGCGGUAAUACGGAGGGUGCAAGCGUUAAUCGGAAUUACUGGGCGUAAAGCGCACGCAGGCGGUUUGUUAAGUCAGAUGUGAAAUCCCCGGGCUCAACCUGGGAACUGCAUCUGAUACUGGCAAGCUUGAGUCUCGUAGAGGGGGGUAGAAUUCCAGGUGUAGCGGUGAAAUGCGUAGAGAUCUGGAGGAAUACCGGUGGCGAAGGCGGCCCCCUGGACGAAGACUGACGCUCAGGUGCGAAAGCGUGGGGAGCAAACAGGAUUAGAUACCCUGGUAGUCCACGCCGUAAACGAUGUCGACUUGGAGGUUGUGCCCUUGAGGCGUGGCUUCCGGAGCUAACGCGUUAAGUCGACCGCCUGGGGAGUACGGCCGCAAGGUUAAAACUCAAAUGAAUUGACGGGGGCCCGCACAAGCGGUGGAGCAUGUGGUUUAAUUCGAUGCAACGCGAAGAACCUUACCUGGUCUUGACAUCCACGGAAGUUUUCAGAGAUGAGAAUGUGCCUUCGGGAACCGUGAGACAGGUGCUGCAUGGCUGUCGUCAGCUCGUGUUGUGAAAUGUUGGGUUAAGUCCCGCAACGAGCGCAACCCUUAUCCUUUGUUGCCAGCGGUCCGGCCGGGAACUCAAAGGAGACUGCCAGUGAUAAACUGGAGGAAGGUGGGGAUGACGUCAAGUCAUCAUGGCCCUUACGACCAGGGCUACACACGUGCUACAAUGGCGCAUACAAAGAGAAGCGACCUCGCGAGAGCAAGCGGACCUCAUAAAGUGCGUCGUAGUCCGGAUUGGAGUCUGCAACUCGACUCCAUGAAGUCGGAAUCGCUAGUAAUCGUGGAUCAGAAUGCCACGGUGAAUACGUUCCCGGGCCUUGUACACACCGCCCGUCACACCAUGGGAGUGGGUUGCAAAAGAAGUAGGUAGCUUAACCUUCGGGAGGGCGCUUACCACUUUGUGAUUCAUGACUGGGGUGAAGUCGUAACAAGGUAACCGUAGGGGAACCUGCGGUUGGAUCACCU